rnacentral:rRNA from 1 species
GUGAGGAAUAUUGGUCAAUGGACGAGAGUCUGAACCAGCCAAGUCGCGUGAAGGAAGACGGUUCUAUGAAUUGUAAACUUCUUUUGUGCAGGAAUAAAGUGGGUUACGUGUAACCUUUUGUAUGUACUGUACGAAUAAGGAACGGCUAACUCCGUGCCAGCAGCCGCGGUAAUACGGAGGAUCCGAGCGUUAUCCGGAUUUAUUGGGUUUAAAGGGUGCGUAGGUGGAUUGAUAAGUCAGCGGUGAAAGUUUGCAGCUUAACUGUAAAAUUGCCGUUGAAACUGUCGAUCUUGAGUGCAAAUGAGGUAAGCGGAAUGUGUUGUGUAGCGGUGAAAUGCUUAGAUAUAACACAGAACACCGAUUGCGAAGGCAGCUUACUGGGAUGCAACUGACGCUCAUGCACGAAAGCGUGGGGAUCAAACAGGAUUAGAAACCCUUGUAGUCC